UGGGAAUCUACCGAGCCCUGCGGAAUAGCUCCGGGAAACUGGAAUUAAUACCGCAUACGCCCUACGGGGGAAAGAUUUAUCGGGGUUUGAUGAGCCCGCGUUGGAUUAGCUAGUUGGUGGGGUAAAGGCCUACCAAGGCGACGAUCCAUAGCUGGUCUGAGAGGAUGAUCAGCCACAUUGGGACUGAGACACGGCCCAAACUCCUACGGGAGGCAGCAGUGGGGAAUAUUGGACAAUGGGCGCAAGCCUGAUCCAGCCAUGCCGCGUGAGUGAUGAAGGCCCUAGGGUUGUAAAGCUCUUUCAACGGUGAAGAUAAUGACGGUAACCGUAGAAGAAGCCCCGGCUAACUUCGUGCCAGCAGCCGCGGUAAUACGAAGGGGGCUAGCGUUGUUCGGAAUUACUGGGCGUAAAGCGCACGUAGGCGGAUAUUUAAGUCAGGGGUGAAAUCCCGGGGCUCAACCUCGGAACUGCCUUUGAUACUGGGUAUCUUGAGUAUGGAAGAGGUAAGUGGAAUUGCGAGUGUAGAGGUGAAAUUCGUAGAUAUUCGCAGGAACACCAGUGGCGAAGGCGGCUUACUGGUCCAUUACUGACGCUGAGGUGCGAAAGCGUGGGGAGCAAACAGGAUUAGAUAC
rnacentral:rRNA from 1 species